AUUUGGAUAACUUAUACUUUGGUUUUUUUUUUCGGGUUAUAGAAAAGAUUUGGGAAAUGCUUAAGAGGGAACACUCACCAAAAGAUUGGAGGCUGCUGGCAUCUUCAGCCAUCAAAGUAACUCAAUGCAUUAACCCGAGAUAACAAAACGACUCUUGACCUAUCUGAAUUGCUU